rnacentral:lncRNA from 10 species
AAACAAGUAAUUGCAGCUGGCAUACAGUUGACUGCAGCCUCACCCCACUAUCCUAGACACUGAACACGCUUACUGUGGAGAAGCACAUGCAGAAUUUCACAAGGAUCCAGGAGCAGUAGGGCCUCUACCUUGGUGUGUCAGCACUACAUCCCACAUAGUACGGUGUUUCCAGGUUGGCAGCCUGGGGAGACUGUGGAGACAGUGUGUGGCAAGCACCAAAAGGGCAGUCCCCGGGGCUCAUCCCAAAAGCUGCUUUACAGUUUGGCAAGAAGACGGACCAAAGGGCCUGCGAGUUAUUCAAAGCCCUGCUCAAAUCUCACCUACUCUACAGAACAUCCUGCAGAACAUCCUUUGAUGCCCAGCAGUUGCUCCCUCCUCCAGACUCCUGUGACUGUAGCAUGUGUGGUGGUCUUUCUCUCUCCAACUAGAUUACAAACUCCGUGAGGGCCUGGCAAGUUUGCCAAUUCUCUGUACCCACUACAGACUGAACAAAUGCAAAUGCUGAGUGCUGUUUACUGCCCCAGUGUCACUACUGGAAACUAGGGCUACUCCAAGAAGUCACGAUUAAGCUUAUAAGGAUGAUUAACUGUUUACCUGAGAACAUGCUGGCAACCCCGAAGCUUCCAUAAGACCAGCUCUAGCAUUCCAACCUUCUCUCUACUUAGUUAGGAAGUGAGCAAUGAUUUCUCAAGCAGUAGUACUUUGACAGUAUAACACAUCAUUCACCUUUAUUGAGUAUCUCUGCCAAGUGUACAAAUACAAGCAAAAAUACUUCUUGAGUAAGGGCUUAUGGGACAUUUGUGCACCAUUAAAAAAACAAACAAACAAGGAAGCCAGGCCCAGUGGCUCACGCCUAUAAUUCCUGGCACUUUGGGAGGCCGAGGCAGGCGGAUCAUCUGAGGUCAGGAGUUUGAGACCAGCCUGGCCAAUAUGGCAAAACCCUGUCUCUAUUAAAAAUACAAAAGUGAGCAGGGUGUGGUGGUAGGCACCUGUAAUCCCAGCUACUCGGGAGGCUGAGGCAGGGGAACUCCUUGAACCUGGGAAGCAGAGGUUGCAGUGAGCUGAGAUCGCGCCACUGCACUCCAGCCUGGGCGACAGAGUGAGACUCUGUCUCAAAAAAAACUGAUUCAAAAUAAACAGGAAUUGGGUCUUUUCUAAGUGAGAUGCUAAAGUUAAAAGGAAACUAUUAUUUCAGAAAUGUAACAUAUAUGUAUGCACAUAUAUAAGAACAAAUUACAUAUGUGUGUAUAUGGUUACGUAUGUAUAUAUGUGCAUAUACAGAUGGUAUAUGUAUUUUAAGAUAUCAAAUGGGCCCACAGAAGAUGCUUUCUCAUCCUCCCCCUUUCCUUUAUUUCCCACAUUUUUAAAUGGGAAAAAAGGCAUAUCUAUUUUGAAACAUACCAAGGAAAGUACAACACACUUAAUUGCACCAGCAAAUAGUUAAGACAAUGCUCAUGCCAGAAUCUUAACUAUAUUUUUUAAAAAGCAAUACUCAAACACCAUAUUGUGAAAGACAAAAAUUGUUUUAAAAUGUCUCACAUUUCCUGAACUUCUUAAAAUAAAUAUGCAAAGUAUAUUCUACUGAAUUGCAAGAUAAAUUAUAAUGGCAACUUCAUUCUGGAUAAGAUUAACAUGAUAUUAAAACCCAAAAAUAAUUUGGAAUUCUAUACAACUUGCUGAGUGAUCUGGUAUUUUAUCUAUGUCCCAUCUUAAAAAAAAAAAAAAAAAACUAUGAGCCAUACUUAAAACUAUUUAAUGAUGGUAAAAUUAUGCAAAUUUGGAUAGCCAGAAUGCUUAUUUUCAUAAGCUAUUCUAGAACGAAGCAAUUAUACUAAAAAUAGACAUCUAUGAUCGUCUUACCCCAUGAGAGUGCUUUUCGAGGUCUGCUACCUAGAGCCCCUUACCUGACACAGAGACGGCGUGUGUCCGCAUGCCUUGCUUUUCGCUGUUGGCCAACCUGUGACAGACAAGAGCAAAGCUGUAAGCCCUGCAAUUUCCCCAGGACCCCGCAACUCGGCCUCAUCAAGUGGGGAACUGCCUUGGAUGAGGAAGACAAAAUUUUAGAUACGUGAUUUCUUUAAAAAUUGGAUUCUACUAUUAAAAUAGCCAGGCUGCUUUAAUGCUUUAAAGAUCACAAAUUAAAAUACACAACUGAAGGAAUGUUGAACUGUUCUGAGAAAGAUACUCUUGACAAUAAUUUAAAACAAUGCAAUACAAUUUAAUCUGGUAUGAAUGGGUUAAAUAAAAAUAUAAAAAUAUAAAUUUAAAUGCUACACACUAAAGGAUUGCCCCUAAAGUUAUGAGAAAAAAAACAUACACCUGGAAGUGGAUUUUGCUCUCUAAAACAUAAUAUGAAAUACUACAGUAUGACUGGUCUUUCUCAAAUUUAUGGCACAUAAAAAAUUAUCAAGCAAUACAUUAAUAUGUACUAUUACCUACAUACUUAAAAAAGUAAUCUCAAUGUAUCUUGCUACUUGCUUCAUGACAUGGUUUAACACUAGUUUUACAUAUUUACCCACAAAAAAUAAAAUUUUGGCCAAAAGUCUUGGUGCCGUUUAAAAAAUUGGUAAAAAACUUUUGGAAAGCACAAAACACAGGGAAAAAAGGAGCCACACAGUCUUUAGAUGUCAAAGUUACCUGAUCUUUUUAUAAGAGAAAACCUUUUCCAGAUGAAAUAUUGACAUUUAAAACAGUAUAGGUUGAAUAUCUCUUAUCCACAAUGCUUGGAACAAGAGUGUUUCCAAUGUCAGAUUUUUUGGAUUUUGGAAUGUCUGCAUAUACAAAAUGAGGAAUCUAGGGGAUAGGACCCAAGUCUAAACGUGAAAUCUGUUUAUGUUUCAUAUACACCUUAUACAUGUAACCCAAAAGUAAUUUCAUACAAUAUUUUAAAUAACUUUGUUCAUGAAACAAAUAUUUGACUGCAACCUGUUACACAUGAGGUCACAUGAGGUCAGGUGUGGAAGUUUCCACUUGCUGCAACAUGUUGGUCCUCAAAAAGUUUCCAAUUUUGGAGCAUUUUGAACUUUGAAGUUCCAGAUUAGAAAUGCUCAACUUGUACAUCGUUUCGAAGCACUACAACUAUUUAAUGUGAAACUGUAUAAUCUCUAUAAUAAUCACAGCAAACAGCCAUAGACUUGUGUUCCUUUUACAGAAUUCUCCAAAUAUUUGAAAUUUUAUAUCUUUAGUAUAAAAAUUUAAUCAAAGUUGUUUUCUAACAACUCAUUACUUUCUCUUCCAUUGCGCUACAUGAUUUAUCACAACUUAUCUUUGAACUAUAUUUAUUGGGCAGUCAGAGGACACACAUUUUAAAUCAAUAAAUUACAUCAUUUCCUUCCCUGUUGUGCUGCCAAAACACUGGGGUUUUCCCUUGUCUGCGCCACAAUUAUGUAUGCUGUUGCUAAGCAACUUUCUCACGAUAGCUUGGAUUUCAGCUCUUAUCUGAUCAACAGCAAUAAUGGUGUCCUGCUGCUAUAAGGUUUGUGGAAAUUCCACUCUUGUAAAGUUUGCUUCAUUUAUUUAGUUUCCUUUAUCUGUUAACACUUGCAAUGUACUACCUUCCUCACUCACUUUCAUACCUAUGUUCAUGAUUCCUCUAUGUGUGUGUGUGUCUGUGUUUUAAGAAAUGGGGUGGAGUCUCACGAAGUCACCCAGACUCGAGUGUGGUUGCUAUUCACAGGCAUGAUCAUAGUACACCACAGCCUCAAACCCCCGGGCUUCAGUGAUCCUCCUGCCUCAGCCUCAGAACCACAGGAACAUGCCACAUUGCCCAGCUUUGAUUUUAAUCCAAAAUUAUCCCUUAACUUCCCACAACUAAAGGUACUCUAAAUAAACAUCAGUUCCUGCCCUGAUAUGACCCCAAAUGAACCUCUAUCAGACACUGCUGAUGCUGUAGAGUGCACUGUCCAAAGCUAGAGGUGCACUAGCCACAUGCAGACCUUGCCUGUGUGAGGCCCACAGUACUGCAUAUGACCCUGGCUGUCAGCAACUUGCCAGGUUGGCUGGGGAGGGUAGACAAGUUAAAAGCCCAUGUUUAGGACUCUGGUAAUUAAUAACUAGAAACUAUUACAGGAAAACAUGAUGGGGAUGCUCUCCUGGCUUGGGGGUGGGUCAAUGAGGUUUCUACAGGAAGUGAUGUAGAAUGCGACCUAGAAGAUGAGUUAGGCUUAGCAACGAAAAGGGGGUUGGAAGAAGAGUGGAUCAUGCAAAGACAGAAUAUUGGCAAAGGCCUUCAGGCAAAAGACAGGAUGUUUGCUCCUGGAAUUGAAAAAAAGGUAAAUGUACUUGAAGAAUAGUAUGAGGAGUGACAAAAACCAAGGUUAGAGAAGUGAGCAGGAAACAAUCACACGGGCUCCUGCAAGCUAGGUUAAGAAUAUUGCAAAGUAUCCUAAGAGCAAGAGUAGGUCAUGUAAGAUAUUUAAUUAGGAAAGCUUCCUCAAGCUGUAGCACAGAGCACGGACAGGCUAAGGAGCAAAACUGGACAGAGACUGAUUUAGUAGAAGUACACAGAAAAGAGUUAAUGUAGCAGGCCUGUGACUGACCUUACAUGAUUGUCCCUUGCCUGCUAUCUGGGAACUUGGAUUUUCGCAGAGUUGCCACCAUCCCCUGACAGGUAUGGUACACUAUGCCUAAAAUGUUUGUACAAAAAAUGUGGUUUAUGCUGAACUCUUGCUUUCCUUCUGGGAGUCUGGUAUUUGGAUGCAUGCCAGGCACAGAGUGCAUGUAAAAAGAACCCUCAAUAAAAACCCUAGGCACCAAGUCUCUAAUGAGCUUUCUCAGUAGGCAACAUUUCACACAGGUCGUCACAAUCCAUUGCUGGGGAAUUCAGAGUGUCCUGUGGCCUCCAUUGGGAAGGGACCCUUGGAAGCUUGCAUCUGGUUUUCCCUGGACUUCACCCCAUGCACCUUCAUCCUUUGCUGAUUCUGCUUUGUAUCCAUUUGCUGUAAUACAUCAUAGCUGAGUCCUGUGACUCCUAGAUCUUGGGGAACCCCAACACAGAAGUGUACUUGGGUAGCCCAGAUAGCUAAACACGGGGGAGACACAGUGGGAAGGCAGUGAAGCAGAUGGAUCCAUUUAGAACAUGGAACUGGAGGAAAUAGUAAGGGACUGGCUAUGGAGAAGAAGGAGAGGGACAGAACAAAGCCCAGGCCUCACCCUCUCUAUUCCAGUGGCCUCUUAGGCUCACUGUUCUUCUUCAGUGUCUUGGAAAGUGUAAAUAUCUCUGAAAGCACUUACCACACAGCUAUAACUGUGUGUUUACCUAUGUAUCUGAUUGUUUAGAUUUUAACAUUCAUAUCUUAGUCCCCAGUUCCUAGCAAAUUGGCUGAGAAUAUAAAAUUAUAUAAGUUCUUUUGGUAUUACUAUUCGAUUCUUUUAGUUUUGUAGAUCAACAUGCCCACUAUAAAAUUAGGAAAUAAACAAGAAAAUUAACAUAAAUUAUUUCUCUUUAAUUUUCAUACUUGUAAAAUAGCCAGAAUGCCACAUAUUUUCAGGUUCUUGUAAAGAUUAGCAAUAACAUAUGAAGCAAAUGUUUAACAACAGGCUCUCAACAUUAUGAUUAUUCUUUAGCUCCCCCAUAGAACUUAAAGGAAAAAUUAAAACCUUUUGAUUAAGCCUAAAUACUUAAUAAAAUUUAAAACUGACUUGAUUUCUUUCUAGAAUUGUUUCCUAGUUCCUUGAUCAUGUAUAUUGAAUUUAAUUUUUUUAGGAAAAUGAAUAAUAAAGCAUAGAAAUUUCCUUAAACUUUCCAACAAAACAAAAUAACAGUACAAAAAAAGCAGUACUUACUUUGGUAUUGAUGGCAAAGCCCGUUCACCUUCUGCGGGGAAAAAGAAAAGAGAUGCAUAAGGCUCUUUUCACUCCUUUUGAAAAGAUGGUGCCUAGAAUCAGGGAGGAAGGAUGAGGCCUAUACUGGUAUUCCAGCAAUGACCCUUUAAAGAAAGUUGCUACACUGUCUACCUUAGGUUCUCAUGGUUUUAUUUUCAAUAUUUAUAACAAACAUAAACUGAGUAUUAGAUACAAUUGUUUAAAGGGUACUGCCUAAUCAUAAUAAAGAACUAAGAUGCUAAGUUGGUGAAAGACUUCGUUUGCAGGAGACUAAAAGAUGAAGGGUUUCUUAUGAUUAGUCAACACUCCUUGUCAAAGGACCAGGCAUUCUGCACUUUGAUAAAACUACUCACUAGUAACAACAGAAAAACCUGUGCAGGAAGCACAGAGAAACAGAAGGAAAACAAUUCUACAGGUGUGCAUGGCUGCCAACGGAAUGAAUGUAUGAGAGAAGGCAAGUCCUGGAGCUGUCAUCUAAAGGAGCCGUGCACACAGCUGGCUGGAAGGUGAGCCAGGCAGCUAUCUACCACAGUUCAGGGUGAGCUCCCUUUUUGCUGAGCAGGACACAGUGACUGGCUCAUGCCGGCCUGACCACAGUGAAGCUGAGGACUUCGUUCAAUGGUGAGGGAAACGCUUUCUUUCCCUCAGCCUUCAUUUCGCAAACCAGGAAACAUGGAGCCCUCCCUGGUUUAACCUCUUUAAUCUGAAUUAAUGUAACAGCCCCCUAAUUGGUCCUGUCUUCUAAUCCAUCUGAGCUAAAUUAUUUCAGAAUAAUCUUCCCAAAUUACCAAUUCAUCAAUCAAGCAAGUUAUUAUGCUUAACAUUUUAGUGUCUCUCAAAAACUUUCAGGAUGAGAUUUAAACACCCCAGCUUAAUUUACAAAGCACUGCUUCACUUCUCUCAGCACACAAACACUGCUCUGGCUGUCAUCUUUGUAUCGUGUCUGUGGGGUGGUAUGGGAGGCUGAGGAGGCACCCAUCUACCACUCACCACUCUGGUGCCCUUCUAGGCAGCUCCUUGGUAACACCACUCGUGUAGUCACACUUGCUGUCCACGGUUCCUCUCCUUACUUUUGCCCUUGAAUUCAUUCUAAUCAGUUCCCCCCCACCCCCAUACACGGAAAAUACUUUUUGAACAUCUCCAAUGACAUCUGCCUUGCUAAGCCCAAUUGUUCAUUUACAGUUAGCACUUAACACAGCUAAUCACUCUGUCCUUCUGAGAGCUUCCCACCCUGGGCCUCCCGAACCUUGUACUAUAUUCUCUUGGUUUUCUUCUGCCCUCUCAUGGCACCUCUUCGUCUUCUUUAUUGGUUCUUCCUUAUCUCCCUGGCCUGAUGAAGAUUAGAGAACCCAGUGCUCACACCUGUAUCUCUUAACCUCACUUCCUUGGUAACCUCAUACAGUUUCAAAGCGUCAAAUACCACCCACACUUUGCAGCUCCAAAUGCAUACCUCUAGCUUGGACCUCUCCCCUGACCUGAACUUGUCUACAUGACACCUCCCUCUGGAUGUCUGAAGGUUGCUGGGACUUGCUGAUAUUCAAAACUGAGUCCUGGUGGGUGCACCUGCAUACUUCCCAUUGUUCAGGUGGAACCAGCAGUCAUCACAGGGCCUUGCUGCUCCCCAAUCCAUACCCAGUGCAGCAAAUGCAAGGCUUUACUGUCCAACUCUAUCCAAAGUCCUCUUACUUGUCACUGUCAUUCCAGAACCCCUGACCCAAACAUCACUUGCCUACAUCAUGGUAAUAGCCUCCUGAUUGGUCCCUCUACUUUAUCUGUACCCAGGCCAACCUACCAUGGUCUAUUCUCAGCACAGCAGCCAGAGUACUUAUUCUAGAACAUAAACCAGAUCACAUUACUCCUCUCUUCACACCCUCCAAUGGCUUCCCAAAUCACUUGAGUACAAGCCAAAGCCCUUACAAUGCCUUUACAUCCUGACCAGCCACUGGCCCUGGGAUCACCCCCUUAGGCAUUCUAGUGACCUGGGUCUCUGCUGUUCCAGGCAUGCUUCCUAGCACUCCCCAGCCUUCAAUAGGGAAUAGCCAGAUAUCCUUGUAGGUUCUGUUUUCCACCCCUUCAGGUGCGACUCUCUCAGUGGGACCUUCCCUGACAACCUUACUUAAAAUUGUAUCCCUUACUUUCUUCCCUGUCUUAUUUUUCUCGAUACAGCUCAACAUCAUUUGAUAUAUUAUAUGCUACAGUAUUUAUUUUCUCUAUUAAUUUACUCUGUUUAUCGCACGUAUGUCCUCACCUACAUGAAAUUUCCAUGCAUGCACAACCCUGUCUGUUUUGUUUGCUGCUACAUCCUCUAUCCUAGAACUGUGCCUGGAAAAUGGAAGGAGCUCAACAACUACAUGUUGAAAGCAUGCAGUGUUUGGUCUGGCCAAUCUGCCUUUUCAGUAUUACUCGUCACUAUUCCCUGAUUCUAUACUACUGCACAUUGUAUUCCCCUGAACAUACCACACAUGCCUUGAAAUGUGCUCUUCCUUCAUUCAGGUAGAAACAUUCCUCAAUAUUUCAAAGCUCAAUUCAAGUUCUAUUUCCGGCAGAGAGCCCUUCCUGGAAUACCUCAGUUUGCAUUGAGCGGCAUCCUCUAUGUUUCUGCUGCAUCCACAGAGCAUUUGCCACAUAUACUUCUCUACAGACUAUUUAACCUGCCUAAGGUUACGGUAAGACUUAAGCUGCCCAAAGGCAUCCCUAAUAUCUAGCAGAGUAUCUGGCACUCGGGAGACUGUCCGACCACUGUUUGGUAAAGAAAGAAAUAAAUCAACCUAGGACCCCGUGUUACUCUUUCUGAAAAACUGUUUAAUUCUUCUGAUUUGCAGAGAUAGUUGUGAGGCUUAACACUGCAUAUAUACAACUCACUGCACAUCAUAGGAAUUCAAGCCAAACUGCAAGCCAUCACUUGUUGACAUUUUGAACAUCUAUUUCAAGCAAAAUAACCAAGUCACACCAGGAAGACCAAAUUUAGAGUAACUGAAAAGUCCUGAUAGUUACGUUUAUUAUCCCAUGAACAUGACCACCUCCCACCACCAGCACCACCACCUUACUCACACCCAAAUUGUUAAUAAUAUAGCCUUUCAAAUGACACAUUAGUGUGAUUUCUGUUUGUAUUCUGUUGAAAUUUCUAUUUCCUGAAAGAAAAAGGAAUCCAUUAUUAUAUUUUUGCCUAACAGGAGACUUUCUAAGUAGCUGGGCAUGGGUAGAAAGGCAGCUGUAAAGAAGGAGAUAAACAACAGAAGGAUUCUGAGAGAAUAUUUUUAUAAACAGAGUAAUGGAAUACAGAAAAAUGGCAACAGACACCAUCAGUAGAAGCAGCAUUUAAGAAAACCCUAAGGACUCACUACCUAAAAUGUCUAAUUCUGGGAGUUAAUGUUUUUGUUCAAAUGUACUUCCAUUCUUCUUAGAAGUGUUCAUUAACUGAAAUUGGUGACUUAACUUACCAGACUUUUUAAUGCUUAUAAAUACACAAGUUUGGAGAUACACACACACACACACAUUUACAUGUAGGUUUUUAAUACAUUAAUAGAGCUAUUUUUUUAAACAGCUGCAUAGUAUUACAUCAUGUAUGCAUACUCCCUCAUUUAUUAAUUUUUGCUCAUUUUUUGCUAUUAUAAACACUGCAAUAGUGAAUAUCCUCCUCAGGUCAGUGGUUUGUAUGACUGAUUUCCAGGAGGCAGACAAAUGGGCAGAGUACUCCUAAACUGUCUUCUGAAAAUGUACCAAUUUACAAUGACACAAUCAUGAGUCAUUCUGGCAUUCUCCAGAAGUCUUGCCAGUGGUGGUUAUCAGGUUUCUUUAAUCAAUGUAAUAAACAUAAAAUGAAAUAUAUCACUGUAUCCAUAUAUUCACUGGACAUUUGUGUGUACAUUCCUCUUUUUUAUACUAGGUUGUCUUUUACUGAAUGAGCUGGAAGAACACUUGAAAAAUGAGAAAUUUUAAUUAUUUAUUAUAUGUGUCAUAAUAUUUUCCCCUGUCAUCAUAGCUUUAAAAAUGUUACCUUGUACUAAACGAAACGUUUUAAUUAUGUAAUUGUGUCGCUUCAGCAGCACAUAAGUGUUUUAAUUAUGUAAUUAAAUGUAACAGUUCUAUUUUUAUGUCUUCUGGAAUUUAUGCCAUGCUUAGAAGCAUUCACUCCCUCCCUUGAAAUGCACAGUAUUCACCAUCAUUCUAUACACAGAAAACCUACUUACAAUUAUGUAAUUACAACUCUAUAUUACACUAUACACUUUCCUCUGAAAAAAUGUUACUACAGAAUUUUACUAACACUGCAAAAUUGAUUGUAUACUUUCUUUCAGGUAAGGUGUAGGUUAGAUAAUGCCCUACAGAAAGGGCCAAGGUUAUGCAGACUGUGGUGGAAUGCAGUCCAGGACAAUUUGGCUUGUGGCUCUUACUAUGUUCUCCCCAGGAAAAUCACCUUUUAUUUUUAUUUUUUAAAAUUAAUUUAUUUUUUUUAGAUACAGUCUUGCUAUGUGGCCCAGGAUGGUCUCAGAUUCCUGGCCUCAGGGAUUCUCCUGUGUAGCUGGAAUUACAGACAUGAGCCACUAUGACAAGGUAACAUCCCUUUUAAAAGCACUUUAUAAAUCCAAAGUAACUAUGGUAGAUCAAAGAACUAACAAAAUGCAUCUGGGCA